CCAAUAGCGUAUAUUAAAGUUGUUGCAGUUAAAAAGCUCGUAGUUGAAUUUCGGGAUCAGAGUGUCGGUCGUGCCUCGGUACGCACUGGUAUUAUUGGUUCCUACCUUCUGAAGAACCGCGAUGUCAUUAAUUUGGUGUCGUGGGGAAUCAGGACUGUUACUUUGAAAAAAUUAGAGUGUUUAAAGCAGGCUUACGCUUGAAUACAUUAGCAUGGAAUAAUGAAAUAGGACGUUUGAUUCUAUUUUGUUGGUUUCUAGGAUUGACGUAAUGAUUAAUAGGGAUAGUUGGGGGCAUUAGUAUUCAAUUGUCAGAGGUGAAAUUCUUGGAUUUAUUGAAGACUAACUACUGCGAAAGCAUUUGCCAAGGAUGUUUUCAUUAAUCAAGAACGAAAGUUAGGGGAUCGAAGACGAUCAGAUACCGUCGUAGUCUUAACCAUAAACUAUGCCGACUAGGGAUCGGAUGAUUUAAUUUUAAUGACUCAUUCGGCGCCUUACGGGAAA
rnacentral:rRNA from 1 species